GCCGAGGAGCCCUUGUGGCCCGGAGUGUACCGGGAAGGGGGCGGGGCUAGGGCGGCCUUGACAACCAUAAGAUAGCCUUCGCCCCGGCGACUCCGAGACUACAUUUCCCAGAGAGCCCCGCGUGGCGCGGGAGGGAACGGGAAGUGCCACCGGCACAGUGCGCAGGCGCGAGAGCCUCCUCUGGUUAUAUAAGAGAGGU
ensembl:misc_RNA